UACGGGGGGUGCGAGCGUUGUCCGGAAUCACUGGGCGUAAAGGGCGCGUAGGCGGUCUGAUAAGGGUGUGGUGAAAGCCCGGGGCUCAACCCCGGGUCGGCCGUGCCGACUGUUAGACUAGAGUGCUGUAGGGGCAGGCGGAAUUCCGGGUGUAGCGGUGGAAUGCGUAGAGAUCCGGAGGAAGACCGGUGGCGAAGGCGGCCUGCUGGGCAGUUACUGACACUGAGGCGCGACAGCGUGGGGAGCAAACAGG
rnacentral:rRNA from 1 species